GACGAACGCUGGCGGCGUGCCUAAUACAUGCAAGUCGAACGCAGUGGGGACGGGUGAGUAACACGUGGGUAACCUCCCAUCAGAGGGGAUAACACUUGGAAACAGGUGCUAAACCGAUACUGAUGGAUGAACCCGCGGUGCAUUAGCUAGUUGGUGAGGUAACGGCUCACCAAGGCCAAGAUGCAUAGCCGACCUGAGAGGGGGAUCAGCCACACUGGAACUGAGACACGGCCCAGACUCCUACGGGAGGCAGCAGUAGGGAAUAUUCGGCAAUGGACGAAAGUCUGACCGAGCAACGCCGCGUGAGUGAAGAAGGGUUUCGGAUCGUAAAACACUGUUGGUGGAGAAGCGGUAUCUAACCAGAAAGCCACGGCUAACUACGUGCCAGCAGCCGCGGUAAUAC
rnacentral:rRNA from 1 species